UGGGGAAUAUUGGACAAUGGGCGCAAGCCUGAUCCAGCAAUGCCGCGUGUGUGAAGAAGGCCUUCGGGUUGUAAAGCACUUUUAUCAGGAGCGAAACGCUGUCGGCUAAUGCCCGGCGGAACUGACGGUACCUGAGGAAUAAGCACCGGCUAACUUCGUGCCAGCAGCCGCGGUAAUACGAAGGGUGCAAGCGUUAAUCGGAAUUACUGGGCGUAAAGCGUGCGUAGGCGGUUUCUUAAGUCUGCUGUGAAAUCCCCGGGCUCAACCUGGGAAUGGCAGUGGAUACUGGGAGGCUAGAGUGUGUCAGAGGGUGGUGGAAUUCCCGGUGUAGCGGUGAAAUGCGUAGAGAUCGGGAGGAACAUCAGUGGCGAAGGCGGCCACCUGGGACAACACUGACGCUGAGGCACGAAAGCGUGGGGAGCAAACAGGAUUAGGAUACCCUGGUAGUCCACGCCCUAAACGAUGCGAACUGGAUGUUGGUCUCAACUCGGAGAUCAGUGUCGAAGCUAACGCGUUAAGUUCGCCGCCUGGGGAGUACGGUCGCAAGACUGAAACUCAAAGGAAUUGACGGGGUCAUAGCUGUUUCCUG
rnacentral:rRNA from 1 species